UCCCCCGCAGAGCGGGACUGGGUAGUCUGAUUUCCGAGGUUUAGCCCAGCUCAGCUGCUGGCCUCACCCUUGUAUCCCCCUAGCUUUCUAUUCUUGGCUCAAUUAUUGUCAUGCAAAUGGAUCCUUCCUAUGCCACCUUCCUGUCUCAUUAUGAUCUUUGUCUCUGGGACUUCGGCCCUGGAAUUUCAAUGCCUCCUAGACCAAGCUGGGCACCGGGAAUGCUGCCUCCCCCUGCUGGCUUCCCUCCCUUCAGCCUGAUUUCCUUUGGAGAUUCUGAAAGGGCCGAGCUAAGGACUUGGCACUCUGCCCAGGGAAAAGAAAUUAUCUUGAACAAAUGGGAAGAACAGAGUGAGAGGAGGAGACUUCUCCUGACGCAGAGGGGGCACUGGGCACCAGCCCCGGGCAGAGAGGGGCCCUGUAGUGAGCCGGCCACCCUCUGGGCCCGGCUGUGUGCUAAGAUUUAGAGGGGCAGAAGAAGGAAGGCUUAGAAAACACAUUGGGAAAACUCCAGCUGUGUUUGGAACAGACUAUCCGUGCUCCUUGCCCAGAAUUCUGAAAGGAAAGGAAACAGCCAAGGGUCUGGGCCAGGGACAGAGACUGGCAGAAACCAAGAGCAAGAGAGUCCUGGAGGAUAGUGGCGAGAAAUGAAAGGUAAAAGCUUCCCAAAGGACCACAGAGAUCCAAGGCAUUGCCAUUAUGAACCGAACCACCAGCUGAGAUGGAAGCCUCCGUGCCUGGAAAAGGCUGUGGUCUUGCCCAAGGUACUGUAGUAGAUACUGAUGGGCACACUUCUUCAAUAAUACCUCCUCUUGCUCGUCUUCUAAAUGUGUGAUGCUCUCUGGCCUUGGAGAAAUGCUGGUUGGGAUCCACUCCGACAGUCCCAGCCGAGCAACUACGGUGAUUCCCAAAGCAACAAGGCGUUGAAACGUCACUUUGAAUUGGAUUGUCUUGUACCUUUAUUUUAUUUUUACUUUUUUUUAAAGAUUUUAUUUAUUUAUUUGUCAG